rnacentral:rRNA from 1 species
ACACAUGCAAGUCGAGCGGAAACGAUCCUAGCUUGCUAGGAGGCGUCGAGCGGCGGACGGGUGAGUAAUGCAUAGGAAUCUGCCCGAUAGUGGGGGAUAACCUGGGGAAACUCAGGCUAAUACCGCAUACGUCCUACGGGAGAAAGCAGGGGAUCUUCGGACCUUGCGCUAUCGGAUGAGCCUAUGUCGGAUUAGCUUGUUGGUGAGGUAAUGGCUCACCAAGGCGACGAUCCGUAGCUGGUCUGAGAGGAUGAUCAGCCACAUCGGGACUGAGACACGGCCCGAACUCCUACGGGAGGCAGCAGUGGGGAAUAUUGGACAAUGGGCGAAAGCCUGAUCCAGCCAUGCCGCGUGUGUGAAGAAGGCUUUCGGGUUGUAAAGCACUUUCAGUGAGGAAGAACGCCUUCGGCUUAAUACGCCGGAGGAAAGACAUCACUCACAGAAGAAGCACCGGCUAACUCCGUGCCAGCAGCCGCGGUAAUACGGAGGGUGCGAGCGUUAAUCGGAAUUACUGGGCGUAAAGCGCGCGUAGGUGGCUUGAUAAGCCGGUUGUGAAAGCCCCGGGCUCAACCUGGGAACGGCAUCCGGAACUGUCAGGCUAGAGUGCAGGAGAGGAAGGUAGAAUUCCCGGUGUAGCGGUGAAAUGCGUAGAGAUCGGGAGGAAUACCAGUGGCGAAGGCGGCCUUCUGGACUGACACUGACACUGAGGUGCGAAAGCGUGGGUAGCAAACAGGAUUAGAUACCCUGGUAGUCCACGCCGUAAACGAUGUCGACUAGCCGUUGGGGUCCUUGAGACCUUUGUGGCGCAGUUAACGCGAUAAGUCGACCGCCUGGGGAGUACGGCCGCAAGGUUAAAACUCAAAUGAAUUGACGGGGGCCCGCACAAGCGGUGGGAGCAUGUGGAUA